AGAGGGGGCAAGCGUUAUUCGGAAUUAUUGGGCGUAAAGGGCGCGUAGGCGGCUUUUCAAGUGACGGGUGAAAUCCCUCGGCUUAACCGAGGAACUGCCUGUCAGACUGGAAGGCUUGAGACCGGGAGAGGUGAGUGGAAUUCCCAGUGUAGCGGUGAAAUGCGUAGAUAUUGGGAGGAACACCAGUGGCGAAGGCGGCUCACUGGACCAGAACUGACGCUGAGGCGCGAAAGCGUGGGGAGCAAACAGGAUUAGAUACCCUGGUAGUCCACGCCGUAAACGAUGAGUGCUUGGUGUAGCGGGUAUCGACCCCUGCUGUGCCGAAGUCAACACAUUAAGCACUCCGCCUGGGGAGUACGGUCGCAAGACUG
rnacentral:rRNA from 1 species